CCUGAACCAAUCACUGUGGCCCAGAGAUGGAAUAUGCCGAUUGGUCAAGCUUAGGUCAUAGUUCCCCCUCUGGAACUGGCUUCUCUGGAACCACAGGGUUCCCAAAAGGGAUGUGGGAAUGCAGGGAGGGGAAAUAUUGUGUUGGGGAUUUUCCCCAUUCACUCUUCCGAGAGCAUAAAGUUUCUGCCCCAGGAGGAGAGCGGAACUAAAACUAAAAUUUCCAGCGUUUUAUAAUUCCCAGAAUAAUAGCCAUUAGCAUAGUUAAAGACAAUGUUAAAGAGUACAUAGGAGUGGCCUGGCAGAACUAAAUACCCCUGCAGUAGGAAAGAGGAGAGAAGGACAGACAGGAGGUAUCGUGGCAUCACUGGUACAGAGCGGGGGCAGUGGAAAGAGGCGAGUACCAGCUCUGGGAUCCUGUGAACUGGGCAGAGUGGGUGAGAUGGAAUCCACGAUGCACUUAGCAGACUGCAGGUACCCAGCGGAGGUUGGCAGGCUUCACACUGCCCACACCUGAAGAGCCCUCUCAUUUGACAUCCCAAAUCCCCGGGCCACUCGUCGCUGUGCCUGGAGGUUGAGGUGAUUUUUCAGCUGCAUAGUGAAGCUUUUCCACAGGGCGAGACCCCCGGCCCCAGGCCCUUGCCUCUUUGGUACAGGUGACCUCUGGAGCCCACACAAUGGAUGUGAUGCUGUGAACUUGCUGUUCGCCAGCUGUCUGGAAUCAGACCAACCCAGCAGGCCUAUUCUCACCUCACAUGCUAGGACUCGUGACACUGAAGUGCAGGACUCUCUCAAGUGCUCUGGCAACUUCUCCAAGGACAUGCAAAGUGCCACAGUCCUCUGGGCCUAUAGCCUGACCUGAAGCAUGCGUUUCUGCAGAGCUUCACGGAAAGGGCAUCUCUGAUGAUGGGAAUGCAGCAGUGUGACUGUGUGCUCAUAAAGUAUGGGCCAUCACAGGGUCUUUCCUCAAGCAUCCUUUCUAUUCUUGUGAGAUGAGUAGGGUGGGGUCAAGAUGAUCCCCUACUGGAGGAAACCCCGUGAUUUCAGGGAAGAAGGGCCUAGAGAGACCUGGAGGUGCAUGGGACUCUGAGCACUGAGAAGGGAACAGAGGGGUAGGAGUCUCAGUAGUUCUCAGGGUCUUAGAUGAGACGUGGAAGGAAAGACCACGAGGCUGGAUACAGAGUGGAUUCUGCCAUGGAGAACACGGGACCUGCGGUUAUUGCUACAGGUGAGUGGACAGACAGGGGCGCCCACGGCCCGGGGGCCUGCCUGGGCCUAGCUCUGACUCUGUGGGGACCACUGGAUCCUGGAUCAUCGGAGCCACAGGGGCUAGAGAGCCCAUGGCAUCCAACCCAUUACACUGAAAGGAAGACCGAGGUCUGGAGGAGAAAAGGGCAUGUCCUGGGUCACCUGGUGUAUCAAGGUAGGGUCCAGUCUCCAACCAGGGUCCAGAGCCUUUCCCGUCCAGGCACAGGCAGGUCAAAUGCAGCAGACAGUGCUCUAUCUGGGGCUGGGGACAGGGAAGGGCCUCUAGAGAGACCAUGUGGUGCCCCUGCUUUAUUUCUCAGAUAAUGAAAUGAGUGUCGGAGAGGGGCAGGGACUCGCCUGUGGUCAGACAGCCAGUGAGCU
ensembl:lncRNA